UGAGCAAUCUGCCCUUCUCAUCGGAAUAAGCGUUGGAAACGACGUCUAAUGCCGAAUACGACCUCCUUUCACAUGAUCGGAGGUGGAAAGCUCCGGCGGAGAAGGAUGAGCUCGCGGCCUAUCAGCUAGUUGGUGUGGGUAACGCCCACCAAGGCGACGACGGGUAGCCGGCCUGGAGAGGGUGACCCGGCCACACUGUGACUGAGACACGGCCAGACCUCCGUACGGGAGCAG
rnacentral:rRNA from 1 species